UUGGUGGUUGACCACUCAUUAUGUAAACCACAUGUCCUAGGUUCAAUUCCCCUCCAUGUGAAGCUUAUUUCAUUAUUACUAAGGCCUAACCUAUCCCAAAUUGGAAUUCUACAAAGCAUUUAUAUAGUAUUUAUACCUUCACAUCACAAUAGAAAGUAAAUUACCACAUCAGGAAAUAAAUGAGCUUGGAAGGAAGUGAGAAAUGGGCCAAAAAACUUGAGGAAACCAAG
rnacentral:lncRNA from 1 species